rnacentral:rRNA from 1 species
GAGUUUGAUCCUGGCUCAGGAUGAACGCUGGCGGAGUGCCUAAUACAUGCAAGUCGAGCGGCAGCGCGAGUAGUUUAUUACUUGGCGGCGAGCGGCGGACGGCUGAGUAACGCGUGGGAACGUGCCCCAAAGUGAGGAAUAACUGCCCGAAAGGGUAGCUAAUGCCGCAUAUGAUCUUCGGAUUAAAGGAUUUAUCCGCUUUGGGAGCGGCCCGCGUACGAUUAGAUAGUUGGUGAGGUAAUGGCUCACCAAGUCUACGAUCGUUAACUGGUCUGAGAGGAUGAUCAGUCAGACUGGAACUGAGACACGGUCCAGACUCCUACGGGAGGCAGCAGUAAGGAAUCUUCCACAAUGGACGAAAGUCUGAUGGAGCAACUCCGCGUGCAGGAUGAAGGCCUUAGGGUUGUAAACUGCUUUUAUUUGUGAAGAAUAUGACGGUAACAAAUGAAUAAGGGUCGGCUAACUACGUGCCAGCAGCCGCGGUCAUACGUAGGACCCAAGCGUUAUCCGGAGUGACUGGGCGUAAAGAGUUGCGUAGGUGGUCAGUAAAGUGAAUAGUGAAAUCUGGAGGCUCAACCUCACAGGCUAUUAUUCAAACUCACUGACUCGAGAAUGGUAGAGGUAACUGGAAUUUCUUGUGUAGGAGUGAAAUCCGUAGAUAUAAGAAGGAACACCAAUGGCGUAGGCAGGUUACUGGACCAUUUCUGACACUGAGGCACGAAAGCGUGGGGAGCGAACCGGAUUAGAUGCCCGGGUAGUCCACGCUGUAAACUAUGGAUACUAGCUGUUGGAGGUAUCGACCCCUUCAGUAGCGAAGCUAACGCGUUAA